AUGAGAGUUUUACUCUAGAAGUUUGAUUUUUUCUAGAAAUCAGUGUAAUUUCAAAUUUAUGUUACUCCCAUUUAAAUUUUGAACUAUUUCUUUGCUACCAUAAUGAAUUCAGUAAAAGACAUUUGUUGGUUCCCACUACCUGUUGCCUUUCAGGUGGCUUUUCUUUUUCCUAUAAAUCUGUCUUUCAAGUUUCAAGGAGACUUGAGAGUAUAGGUGUUUAUCUUCUUUUUUUUUGCUUUGCAUAUAGAUUUCUAUAGAUGGCUCUUUUAAUGAAUUAUAUUUAUUUUGCGAACAAGAAAAAGAAAAUAAAUUCAACUAAAGAGCAACCAGUUAAGUGCAUGGUUCCAUAAUGUUAAGAAGCAUGGACAUUUGUGAGGAAAUGUGUCCAUGUUGGACGUGCUUGCAAUAUCAAUACUUCUCAGAAUCUCGGGCAUUCAUGGAACCUGUUUGACACAUCUUGACCUUGUAUGUCAUUUAAAAGUAAAAUUUUGGACAUUUGGCCAAUAUAUUUUGACACCGAUAAAUAAGUGAUCAAUGAAUGUUGGAUGUUUGGUAUGCCUUCAUUUUAGCAUACUGCAGAGAGUAAUUUAAGAAAAAGAAAAUCAAAUAUGUAUCUAAUAUUUCUAAAAUGUUUGACCAUAUAUAAAAAUAAAAACUCAAAUAUAGAAAUGUGUUGUUAAAUGUAUCACCAUGCGAAUAGAGAGACGAGUCCUCAUAAGUAUGCCUGCACAUAUGAACAUGCAUAUGGAUAUAUAAACGUAGAAUAUACAUAUACACACAUUUGUCUGUCACUGCUACAUCAUGUCUAUAAGACAUAGCUAAUUGACUUUGAUUAUUUUUUCACAAAGUUUUUCUUAAUAUGAUUCAUAAGUUACAUAAUUCAUACAAUGGAAUUAAGGCGAGGAUGAUGAUGAUGAGGAAGUUACAUAUUUCAUGUUUCUAUGAAAAUAUUAGAUCUGUUACAAGUAAUUGUUGUUGUAGAUAUUAUAGAUAAAUAUACCUUUUGCUGACAUGUCCUUGCCGUGUGAUUUUCCAUGUUGUGUAUAUCUUUUUAGUAUGUCCUUGUGUAUGAUACAUAAACCAAAAAUACAUUUUAUUGUUAUCUUAAUUGGGGUAAAGCUUGGAAGGUUUUCAAACAAAUAUUAUGUAAUGGCAUUUCUACAUACCUUUGCAGGUUAUUUCUAAAAUUAUUGAAACAUGCCGUGCACAUGAUUUUACGGAUGUUGUGUUGGUUCAUGAGCAUCGUGGUUUGCCAGAUGGUAUAAUUAUUAGCCAUUUACCUUUUGGUCCAACUGCCUACUUCGGAUUACUCAAUGUGUUAAGUUACAAGACAUGAUAUUAAGGACAAAAAAGCCAUUGAAACAAUGCCUGAGGCUUACCCACAUUUGAUUCUUAACAACUUCUCAACCAAGGGGUAAUGUUUUGUGCUUUCGUAAUACUUUUGGAUCCGUUGACUGCUGAUAGCUUGGUGAAAGGACAACAACCAUUUUAAAGCAUUUAUUUCCAGUGCCCAAGCCUGAUACAAAACGUGUAUCACUUUUGCUAAUCAGUCUGACUAUAUUUCCUUCAGGCAUCAUAUUUAUGAGAAACGCGGAGGUCCUAAAUUGAAUGAGCUGAAGGAGAUUGGUCCUCGGUUUGAAUUGCGGUUGUACCAGAUUAAAGCUAGGAACAAUGGAUCAAGGUGAAGCUCAAACUGAAUGGGUCAUUAGACCAUACAUGAACACAUCCAAAAAACGGAAGAUUCUCGGGGAUUGAGUCAACCUCAAAGCAAUUUCAAGAUUUAGCCUUCUGAUUUGUAAUGUCUACGAGGAAACUGAUCCUUUUUCUGCUUAAGCUGACAAUUAUAUUCCAAUUCCAAUUGGUAGUUUCAUCACCAUUAAAAUCCGCAGAUCUUUUGCCAGUUACAUGCAUGGAUAGUUGAUUAAAAACCUUCCACACUAGAGCUGUCUUCUUUAUUUUCUUUCUGCAUCGAUGUCAUGUAGCUGGAUGGUUACAUGAUGGUAUCGUCAAACUACAGACCUCUGUUUAGAGCAUGGACUGCUCACAUUCCCCGAAUGAUACAUUUUGCAAUCGCCUAUUACUCGAAUUCUAAGGGCAUUUUUCUGUAUGUUCAAGCAUAAAAAUCUAUUUGGUAGUUUUGAUAAUGCAUGCAUCACCGUUUCAUCUAUGCCAACAGAGAUGGGAAGGGGGUUAAUGGAGUUUCAAGAUCUUCAGUCCAAUCUCUCCUUGCAGGAUAUUGCACCUCUUCGGUAUUGAAUCUCUCCACUAGCUUUUGCUGGUCGGUAAGUAGAUGGAGUUCAACACGGGGAAGUUGUAGGAGAUUUUUAUUUUAUUUCUAUUUAUUUUGGGACAAUAUACUAAGUUGCAGAAUGCACGAUCUUGUCCAUGACGUUGCACAAUUGGUUAUGAGGUCUGUGAGUGUUACAUGCGGAAUUCACCUCAUUUUCUUUUUGUAACGAC